ACGGGAGGCAGCAGUGAGGAAUAUUGGUCAAUGGGCGAGAGCCUGAACCAGCUAAGUCGCGUGAAGGAAGACGGUUCUAUGGAUUGUAAACUUCUUUUGUCCGAGGGUAAAGUGAGAGAUGCGUCUCUUAUUGCAAGUAUCGGACGAAUAAGCAUCGGCUAACUCCGUGCCAGCAGCCGCGGUAAUACGGAGGAUGCGAGCGUUAUCCGGAUUUAUUGGGUUUAAAGGGUGCGUAGGCGGAUGAUUAAGUCUGUGGUGAAAGCGGGCGGCUCAACCGUACCGAGCCAUGGAAACUGGUUGUCUUGAGUGUAAACGAGGUAGGCGGAAUGUGACAUGUAGCGGUGAAAUGCUUAGAUAUGUCACAGAACUCCGAUUGCGAAGGCAGCUUACCAGCAUACAACUGACGCUGAGGCACGAAAGCGUGGGUAUCAAACAGGAUUAGAUACCCUGGUA
rnacentral:rRNA from 1 species